CCUACCAGAGGCUGUGUGAUAAUUCCGUUUCCUCAUCUCCUUUCUCUACUGUGGAAUCUCUGUUCACACAGGCACUAUGGUACCUUUGUCAACUGGCAUGUACAAGAGCUCAUGCAAAACUCUAAUAAGGUCCUGAUUCUGUAAGCCUGGGGUAGAACCUGAGAUUCUGCAUUUCUGGUAAACUGUUGGUUGUUGCCAGUGCUGCUGCUCCAAGGACCACACUUUGAACAUCAAGAAUGUGCAGAACAAGGACAGUUCCAUGUGAUUUGCCAUCAGACCUCUGGCCUUGGCCCUCCUGUCAUCUUUAGGCUCUGGGUUUAGGCCUGAAUGCAGGUACCGCUGCUUCUGCUGGAAGGUAGGCUACGUCCAAGAAGGUGAACAGGAGAGGGAGCAAGGUGAAUUCUGGGACCGUAGAUUCUCCCUGGGGUUGCUGUUGACUCAUUAGCUCUUUUUCUGACUCAAGGUCAAACCGUGGCUUGGGACUGACUUAGAUCCUCUUGUGGGAUCCAUCUGCACAUAAAUGUCUUCACACCUUGGCAGUUCCGAAACACCAUCAUCCAAAAGGAAUGAAAGAAUGAAAGGUCCAGGUGAAGAUGUACAUGGAAGGACAAAAAUAUUGGAAAGGGGGGAUAUUUGGUACCCUCCUGUUCACAUUUGCCUUUUGAUUUUCUCUACAGUAUUAUCCAGGAUACACCCAAUUCUGGUGGAUAUUCAGGAUGUCAACCAUCUGGUAUGGGUCCUUCAAGGCCAGACCCUCACAGCUGUCCCCAGGAAGGACCAGAUGGAUCCAGUCACUGUUACCUUAAUCUCAUGCAAGUACACAGAGACUCUUGAGAAGGGCAGGGGGAAUCCUGUCUACUUGGGACUGAAGGAGCCGGAGCUUUGCCUAUUCUGCACGAAGGUCAAGGGGCAGCCUGUGCUGCAGCUUCAGGACCCCAGCCUGGCCACACCUGUGCUGCCUCUCAGUCAUCCACUGAAUCCUCAUGGGACCUCUGUCUUGGACCAGUUUUCUUGUCAAAGUGGGAACACCCAGAGCCAGACUAACUGCUGGCCACAGCCUCUCCACCAUCUGGUCUACCUCAUCCUCUUCACAGAAAGCUCUGAAACCAACAUGGAAAGCCCUAUGUUGCAAGAGUAUCCCAGUUACCGUCACAUUCGUGAUUCUCAGCAGAUGGUGUGGAUCGUAAAAGGAAAUUCGUUAAUAGCAGUUCCUUCUAGCAACAACGUUAAACCUGUCAUUCUUUCCUUGAUAGCAUGUAGAGACAUAGAAUUCCACAAGGAAGGAGAAGGUACUCCACAUUACCUGGGAAUCAAGGACAAAAAUCUCUGUCUCUACUGUACAGAAAUCCAGGGCUAUCCCACUUUGCAGCUUAAGGAAGAAAAUAUCAUGAAUCUCUACAAUCGGCCCAAAGGAGAGAAGUGCUUCCUCUUUUACCGCAAUUAUGAAAGCUCCACCGUUGUCUUUCAGUCUGUCUCCUACCCUGGCUGGUUCAUUGCAACCUCCUCUGAGGCAGGGCAGCCCAUUACCCUCACCAAGGAGAGGGGCACAGCCAAAAGCACGAAUUACUACUUAGAGGAUGGACGCUAAAUCCAGGCUGGGCUCUGGGUGGCUGAAUCCAAUUCAGAGAAUCAAGCAGUCAGAGGUUCUUCUGUUUGAAAACACAACAGGUCAUCUUAAGAGACCACUAGACCUGCAUCCUACCCAUCAAGUCUAUUCACCAAGAAUCCUACCUUCAAAGUACAUCUCAAAUCCACCCAUCCCUCUCCACCUUCUCUGCCAUCCACCACUGGAUAUCUGGAAACCACCGUAACUCACCAGUCCUGUACAUCUGCCUCCUGACUGGUGACCUCCAUCUACCACUCCAUCUAUCUGUUAAAUCAGU